UUUGACAACGUGGCAUCCAAUAUCAAGCAAAAUCGUAUCCUUUUGAAGGACGAAAAUCACGUUCUUUGUUCUCCGGUACCAUGCGCAAUCGUACCACACCCAAACAACCAAGGCAUUUCAAAAACGAUAGAGAAUUUUUACAGAACAAUAACUAAACUAAAAAGCCGGUUAUAGUUCCCACCAUGACCGGUCACUGUUUUAGGUCUUCUUCUUCGUCAUGUCAGUAAUGUUGUAGGUAUGGAGUAGGGGAGAUUUAGUAAAAUAUGACGAAAACAUUUGUGAAUACACUGAACGCAACGAUAAAUUGUUUAAAUCAAAAGUACUAUUUUGAGCAGAGCUCGAUAAACAGAUAAAGCCAUAGGAGCC